CAAUACGCGUUAGCGAUUGAAACGGUAUCCUUUUUGUUUUUCACAAAAAGAUUUAGUGGAAAGCGCGACCUUUA
rnacentral:sRNA from 1 species